GAUGAACGCUGGCGGCGUGCCUAAUACAUGCAAGUCGAGCGAGCAGACGAGGAGCUUGCUCCUCUGACGUUAGCGGCGGACGGGUGAGUAACACGUGGAUAACCUACCUAUAAGACUGGGAUAACUUCGGGAAACCGGAGCUAAUACCGGAUAAUAUAUUGAACCGCAUGGUUCAAUAGUGAAAGACGGUUUUGCUGUCACUUAUAGAUGGAUCCGCGCCGCAUUAGCUAGUUGGUAAGGUAACGGCUUACCAAGGCAACGAUGCGUAGCCGACCUGAGAGGGUGAUCGGCCACACUGGAACUGAGCCACGGUCCAGACUCCUACGGGAGGCAGCAGUAGGGAAUCUUCCGCAAUGGGCGAAAGCCUGACGGAGCAACGCCGCGUGAGUGAUGAAGGUCUUCGGAUCGUAAAACUCUGUUAUUAGGGAAGAACAAAUGUGUAAGUAACUAUGCACGUCUUGACGGUACCUAAUCAGAAAGCCACGGCUAACUACGUG
rnacentral:rRNA from 1 species